CCCUUAGAUGUCCUGGGCCGCACGCGCGCUACACUGAUGCAUUCAACGAGUUUUACCUUGGCCGAGAGGCCUGGGCAAUCUUUUAAACCUGCAUCGUGAUAGGGAUAGAUUAUUGCAAUUAUUAAUCUUGAACGAGGAAUUCCUAGUAAACGCAGAUCAUCAAUCUGCAUUGAUUACGUCCCUGCCCUUUGUACACACCGCCCGUCGCACCUACCGAUUGAAUGGUCCGGUGAAGCCUCGGGAUUGUGGCCAGUUCACUUUAUUGGGAGUUGGCUGCGAGAACUUGUCUAAACCUUAUCAUUUAGAGGAAGGAGAAGUCGUAACA
rnacentral:rRNA from 1 species